UUUACAGACAGCUCUCUGAAGU
rnacentral:miRNA from 1 species